GGUACCGCCUCGGCGGGCUCUUGCGGCAGCGCCGCGGGCGGCGAGGAGGGCGGGGGCGGGGCCGGGGCGCGGCCACAGCUUCGGCAGGGGCGGACGGUCCAGGCCCUAGGGCGGCGCCAUGCUGGAGCUGCGGUUCACCCUGCGGACGGAGCUGGAGAGGUAGGCGGCGCAGCGGAUGAGGAGGGAGCGGCCGCGGAAGCCCCCGGAGUAGGAGAAGGCAUUCGAGGGGUGGAGGCGGAGGGGGAAGGGGAGCGGCGUGGCGCUCUAGACAAGCGGCGCGGAGGGUACGCAUAGAGAACUAGAUCCCAACGUGCCUUUACUACGGGCACGAGGUAGAGCUAGCCACCACCGGCGGCACCUGUGGGCGCCGAUACUGCUUGGGGCGGCGGUCCUCCGGCGGUACCUCCGGGCAGGGCUCGAGCGAAGCGGCGAGGAAGUCACUGGGAGCAACGCGGACCUAGGCCCGCCUAGGCUACUAAGGGGCUGCGCGUCCGCCCGGUCGUGCGCCGCGAUCCGCCUCCUCGGGAGGGUACCGUGGCCGCCGAGACCUCUACUCCGGUAAUCUUGUACAUUGAACUCAGCACCUUUAGGCUUACACCAAUAAAUAUAGUCUCAUCUACGAUGACACUGUACCCGUACGUGAAGUGAGGUCGCUUCUACAUUAGGCGUUCCGCCCCAUUUUGAACUCAGUGGAUGUUUUACUAAAAAUGGUAAACAGUCUCGUCUUCAAAAGAUCCCAACACGUACAGCUCGGACAAACCGACAAAUACUCGUCCGAUGUAAUAUCAGCUAGUUCGGGAACGUUCUAUCAUUACGUAAAAACGUAAGAUCCCAAUGUUACCGCUGAUUAUUUGUUCUGCUGGUACGUCUAGACUAUCUCUUCUCUGGGUGGGGCCACUGGAGGAUGUCGGUACCAGCUACCGUCGGGGCCGUUCCUCACCGAGUGCCAGUGUCCUCUCUUCCUAGAGGCAUGGGAUGUUUCGAGCGACCUCUGCCUAGGUAUCCUCGCGUUGGUCGUCGAGUUCAUCAAAAUGGGCACGUUGGUAGGACGAUUAAGCGACCUGGACUUCUUAUGGCUGCUCAGUUGCCUGUGUCCUGCAAGGACGUCCGAGACGACGUCCUCGAUGUAGUAGGUGAGCGUAUGACAUGUAACAAAUGACUCUGUUGUAGUUGUACCUUAUAAACAGACAGUUGAGUCACUUCGUGGUUGCCUAGUUCCUGUAACUCCAACUAUAAACAUAAGAUGAGCUUUUUCAAAAAAGUCGUUUGUGUAGCUCUGCAACCUUCUUUAACUGCACCACAUUUUCCUCGACCGAAAUGUCAGACCGCAAUUCGUGACCCCUCCUCAAGCAAGAAAUCUAAACGAAUUCUAGUACCUUCGCACCCAACUACCUCACGAACAUAAAUCAAAAACAAAACUGGAACACUUUGAACGAUGGAUACCUACUUUGACACAUUAUAACUACUUUGAUACAUAUACAUGCCUACUUUGAACGAUGAUAACCAUUGUACACAACCUAUGUAUACACAAGUACUGAUAACCAUUAUACACAACUUAUACGAUAUAACCAGUAUAUUUAU
rnacentral:rRNA from 1 species